GAUGAACGCUAGCGGCAGGCUUAACACAUGCAAGUCGAGGGGUAUAGUUCUUCGGAACUAGAGACCGGCGCACGGGUGCGUAACGCGUAUGCAAUCUACCUUUUGCAGAGGGAUAGCCCAGAGAAAUUUGGAUUAAUACCUCAUGGUAUGUGAGAAUGGCAUCAUUUUCACAUUAAAGUCACAACGGCAAAAGAUGAGCAUGCGUCCCAUUAGCUUGUUGGUAAGGUAACGGCUUACCAAGGCAACGAUGGGUAGGGGUCCUGAGAGGGGGAUCCCCCACACUGGUACUGGGACACGGACCAGACUCCUACGGGAGGCAGCAGUGAGGAAUAUUGGACAAUGGGCGCAAGCCUGAUCCAGCCAUGCCGCGUGCAGGAUGACGGUCCUAUGGAUUGUAAACUGCUUUUGUACAGGAAGAAACACUGGUUCGUGAACCAGCUUGACGGUACUGUAAGAAUAAGGAUCGGCUAACUCCGUGCCAGCCGCCGCCGUAAAAC
rnacentral:rRNA from 1 species